rnacentral:hammerhead_ribozyme from 1 species
GUCCUGUUGACGAGUCCAAAACAGGACGAAACAGCUGUCCAGUGC